rnacentral:piRNA from 1 species
UCCUUUAAGAACUAAUCCUGCUCAAGAG